ACAUGCUAACAACAUAACAUUAAUGCACUAUAUCCCAUUGGAACUAGGUAGUUAAUUGCACUCACGCUAGAGUAUUACUCUAAUGGGUGAUCGCUCGGGAAGUAAUAGUGUUUUACAUGCC
rnacentral:rRNA from 1 species